CGGGGAAGGGUAGCUUGCUACCUAACCUAGCGGCGGACGGGUGAGUAAUGCUUAGGAAUCUGCCUAUUAGUGGGGGACAACAUUCCGAAAGGAAUGCUAAUACCGCAUACGCCCUACGGGGGAAAGCAGGGGAUCUUCGGACCUUGCGCUAAUAGAUGAGCCUAAGUCAGAUUAGCUAGUUGGUGGGGUAAAGGCCUACCAAGGCGACGAUCUGUAGCGGGUCUGAGAGGAUGAUCCGCCACACUGGGACUGAGACACGGCCCAGACUCCUACGGGAGGCAGCAGUGGGGAAUAUUGGACAAUGGGCGCAAGCCUGAUCCAGCCAUGCCGCGUGUGUGAAGAAGGCCUUUUGGUUGUAAAGCACUUUAAGCGAGGAGGAGGCUACCGAGAUUAAUACUCUAGGAUAGUGGACGUUACUCGCAGAAUAAGCACCGGCUAACUCUGUGCCAGCAGCCGCGGUAAUACAGAGGGUGCGAGCGUUAAUCGGAUUUACUGGGCGUAAAGCGUGCGUAGGCGGCUUUUUAGGUCGGAUGUGAAAUCCCUGAGCUUAACUUAGGAAUUGCAUUCGAUACUGGGAAGCUAGAGUAUGGGAGAGGAUGGUAGAAUUCCAGGUGUAGCGGUGAAAUGCGUAGAGAUCUGGAGGAAUACCGAUGGCGAAGGCAGCCAUCUGGCCUAAUACUGACGCUGAGGUACGAAAGCAUGGGGAGCAAACAGGAUUAGAUACCCUGGUAGUCCAUGCCGUAAACGAUGACUA
rnacentral:rRNA from 1 species